AUUGCCUUAGUAACGGCGAGUGAAGCGGCAACAGCUCAAAUUUGAAAUCUGGCUUCGGCCCGAGUUGUAAUUUGAAGAGGAUGUUUCUGGGGCUGGCUCUGGUCUGAGUCCCCUGGAACCGGGACUCCUCGAAGGGUGAGAGCCCCGUAAAUGGUUGGACACCAACCUUUUAAAGCCCUCGACGAGUCGAGGAGUUUUGGAAUGCUGCUCAAAAUGGGAGGUAAAUUUCUCCUAAAGCUAAAAACCGGCGAGAAACCCAUAGUCGCCCAAUUCAAGGAUCGAAGAUGAAAAGCACUUUGGAAAGAAGGUUAAAAAUACGUGAAAUUGUUGAAAGGGAAGCGCCUGGAACCAGACUUCGUUUUUUGUGAUCACUUCCCCCCUUGGGGGGGUGACCCCUCGCUUAUUGGGCGAGCAUCAUCUUGGGGAGGGGGAUAAUGGCUUCCGGAAUGUGCCUUUCCUCGGUGAAGUGUUAUAUCCUGUUCAGAAUGCCUGCCUAAACCGAGGUUCGCGCACCUGCAAGGAGGAUGGUCGUAAUGGUCCCCGACGACACCGCUUGAAACACGGA
rnacentral:rRNA from 1 species